UCCAGGCCAGCAGCAAAGCGCCGCCGCUCACAACUGGAGAAAGGUUUAACCCUUGGUCAAAUUAUGCAAAAUAUUUGCAUUCGGAAAACCUGGAAAGGAACAACUUCAAUUUGAGCAACCUACGAAAAGAAGUUGGAUGCCCUGACUGGUUCGGUGACCUGUAUCCGGAGAAGUCAAGGUUGUGCGCUGAUUCCUCAACGUACCUUGCUCCGAGCCUGGAAGUUUCCCUGGCCUCCAGGGAACACUGGGGCAGGGAAUGGCGGGGAAACUGAGGCAGGGGUCCUCAUGCCCGUGCUCCCUCUUGGCUGGACCAUCAGAGGUUGGCUGCUUCCCUUCCUGGACGUGACAGGGAGGCCCUCUCCACGCA